AUUUAGCAAAGGUUCAUCUUCCCGCUUCCUCCUCCAAAUCACUCAUCCCUUAAUCGAUCACUCACCACUUUCUCAUAUUUUCGUUCAAUUAAGGGCAGCACCCUCAGAUUUCACUCCCUCUCCUAACCAUAAAUCUAUUGAUCGAUUCACCAAUUUAGUUAUCAGAUUUAGGUCGAGGACGGGAAGGAGGCAAGGAGCAAAGAAGUUAACAAGUUUGACAUGAAGAGUAAUAGACUUAAGGGGUUGUGAUUCACAACAAGAGGCAUAAAGUUUAAUCAAUCACACCUUGUUUUUAUGUAUGGAGGUUUGCUACAUUUGAAUUCAUUGAUAUACAUGAAAUGCUCCCAAGUUAGGUUUAUUAUUGUUUAAAAGCACUAACAGAUGGUGACUUAAAUGCGACAUACAGGUUAUUUAUUUCCCAUGCUUUGCACUUUGCUGGCUUACACAUAAUGCAUAGAUACAAAGAUAAUUCCAUUUCUAUGUUUUUAAAUAUAAGAUUUUUUUAUACUAGGACUAGCUAGCACCAAUGCUUCCUAUUCUUCAUUCAAUUGGUUUCACAAUCGUAACGGUUCUUCACUCUAUUAUAAUCCGGAAAUAAACAACUUCUAUCUUCAUGAGUUCAUUCAAUUUUACACUGAAUUGAUAAAAUGCAUCAAUAAAUUUAAUUUUGUGUGAUAUGUGUGCAACCACAAUCACUAGCUUUAGCCUUUUCUGUAUAUUUAUUUAUUUAUUGUUUGUGGCAGGUGGAGUGUUUCGGUUUUUUAAUUCAUAGAUGUGCUGAACUUGCUGGCAUGUAUUUUCUUGCAUAUACUGAAUCUGUUUGUUAGAUUUAUAUGUAUGUAUGAAAAGAUUACAUCUCAUGGCUGUACAUUUAAACCAUGAUAGAAACUUAAAAUAAAUAUAUCCAAGGUGACAUAUGAAUGCAUGUGUGUAUAUAUAUGUUUUACUUUUUGCAAUCUGAUUGCUACGAAGUGUCAAUCUAAUGGAGGCACACAUUAUAUUAAACUAUUUGUUCCUUCUCAGUUUUGUUACCAUUCAAAGAUAUUUUGGACUUGAUUAAUUAUCACAAUGUUAGUAUAUAUAGAAUUCACUAUUGUGCAGUUUUAUGCAUAAUUUUUGUUCAUUCUGUUGCAGGCGAUGUGGCUCUUUGUUGGUGACCAGGUUUGGACUUCUUUUAAUUAACCACAUAGUUACUUGUAUGCAAGUUAUGGAGUGUUGAGAUGUGUUUGGUGAUUAACUGGUUAUGGUGCUGUAGCUCGGUUUAUGGUGAAUUUGAUUCAAAUGUUCAUUUCUUCAAUUGAAACUGAACCAUAAGUUGAAUGCAAAGUGCGGCUGAGAGGGUGCAGCGCAGAUGGUGUGCUGGGCUGCCCUUCAGCACAUAGGUGCACACUUUUGAUUUACACAUUCUAAACCAUAUGGAUAUUUUCUUUUGGAUACACCCUACUCAAGAAGUUCUUACUGCUGAUUAAAAAUUGGAUCAACGCAAACCCAAAGCCAAACACAUCGAGGAUGCAAGUAGAGCGGUUGCAGAUUGAUUGUAUAAAAGAAAGGGCAAUGACAUCAUCCUAUUGCCCUACAACCCCGGGUUUGAUUUUCCUUUUAAAUAAGUAUUCGUAAAGGCCUAUUAUCUUAAUUUAUUUUGAUUGAAUUUUGGAUUUUGGAUUUU
rnacentral:lncRNA from 1 species